UUGGAUUUGUGUAAUAACCAGGAGUUGCUGCCCAUGGUGGGGGAGGAUAGGCAGAAGAAUAUUGGGAAGAUUGAGCUUGUGGUUGUUGUGGUUUCCCUUGUGUUUGAAAUUGGGUUUGUUGAGGUUGCCUUUGUGUUUGAAAUUGUGGUUGUUGAGGUUGACCAUGUGUUUGGUAUUGUGGUUGUUGAGGUUGACUAUGUGUUUGGUAUUGUGGUUGUUGAGGUUGACUAUGUGUUUGAUACUGUGCUUGUUGAGGUUGACCUUGACCAGGUGGAUAGCCAGGAGAAAACUGGGGAGACUGAGCCUGUGCUUGAUAUUGAG
rnacentral:lncRNA from 1 species